rnacentral:piRNA from 2 species
UUCUAAGUUUUAUGAAUUUCCUGAGCCUUC